GCAAGUCGAGCGGAUGAGAGGAGCUUGCUCCUCGAUUCAGCGGCGGACGGGUGAGUAAUGCCUAGGAAUCUGCCUGGUAGUGGGGGACAACGUUUCGAAAGGAGCGCUAAUACCGCAUACGUCCUACGGGAGAAAGCAGGGGACCUUCGGGCCUUGCGCUAUCAGAUGAGCCUAGGUCGGAUUAGCUAGUUGGUAGGGUAAAGGCCUACCAAGGCGACGAUCCGUAGCUGGUCUGAGAGGAUGAUC
rnacentral:rRNA from 1 species